rnacentral:sRNA from 1 species
GCUGGGUGUGGUGGUGCCUGCCUGUAAUUCCAGUGGCUCGGGAGGCUGAGGCAGGAGGAUGGAGAGUUCAAAGCCAGCCUCAG